rnacentral:rRNA from 1 species
UAGCUUGUUGAUAAUUAUAAUAAGUUUAGUCUGCCCGGUGAACUUUUAACGGCCGCAGUACUUUGACUGUGCUAAGGUAGCAUAAUAAAUUGACUUUUAAUUGAAGUCGGGUAUGAACGAACUCAUGGGGGCCUUCUGUCUUUUUUUACUAUCUUUUAACUUACUCAAUAGGUGAAAAUUCCUAUAAUUUUUAAUAAGACGAGAAGACCCUAAGAAUUAUUAAUAUAUCUAAUUUUAAUUAGAGUAUCUUUUUUGUUGGGGCAACAUAGUUGGUAUAAACCAACUAAUAGUUAUAGUUUAAUUUAACGUGUAUUAUAAAAAAUAAUUUUAAUUACCUUAGGGAUAACAGCAUAAUUUUUAUUUUAGAUUGUGACCUCGAUGUUGGACUAAGGACUUUAAUGAUUAGCCAUUAUAAAAGAUUGUUCUGUUCGAACAUUUAACCUU